rnacentral:rRNA from 1 species
CCUGCCGGUAGUCAUAUGCUCAUGUCAAGGACUAAGCCAUGCAAGUCUAAGUAUAAAUAGUACAUAUUAAAACUGCGGAGGGCUCAUUAAAUCAGUUAUAACUUAAACAUAGUGUUAUCCCUGGAUAACUGUAGUAAUUCUAGAGCUAAUACACACCGAUAACACCGCAAGGUGAUUGGAAUCAGUUUAAACCAACGAGGUAUUUCGCAAGAGAUACUAAACUGGAACGUGAUUUCAAAUGACAGCCGUAUUUCGUAAGAAGACGGGUCUAUGUUUAGGUUUCUGCCCUAUCAACUUGAUGCUUGUGUAACGUACCAGCAUAGUGAUAACGGGUGACGGGGAAUUAGGGUUCGAUUCCGGAGAGGGCGCCUGAGAUAUGGCGACUACUUCCAAGGAAGGCAGCAGGCGCGCAAAUUACCCAAUCUCAAUACGAGGAGGUAGCGACAACAAAUAACAAUACAGGCCUUCACAAGGCCUGUAAUUGGAAUGAAUACAAUGUAAAUACCUUAAUAAGGAACAAUUAGAGGGCAAGUCUGGUGCCAGCAGCCGCGGUAAUUCCAGCUCUAAUAGCGUAUAUUAAAGUUGUUGUAGUUAAAAAGCUCGUAGUUGAAAUAAACCGGGGUGGUGCUUUUAUACUGUCGGGAGAUAUGUAUUGAGUGCGCUUCGAUUUAUUACCUGGUAGUUAACACUUUCUACUCUUAAAUGAGCGGUUUGUCGUUACUAUCUCGCUUACCUUGAAAAAAUUAAAGCGAUUAAAGCAGGCUUUCAGCUUGAAUACAUUAGCAUGGGAUAACAAAAUAUGGCUUUCAGCCUAUUUGUUGGUUCAAAGCUGAAGCAAUGAUUAAUAGGAGCGGUCGGGGGUGUUCAUAUUCCAGCGUUAGAGGUGAAAUUCUUGGACCGUUGGAAGAUGUACUAGUGCGAAAGCAUUCACCAAGGACGCAUUCAUUAAUCAAGAACGAAAGUUAGGGGAUCGAAGACGAUCAGAUACCGUCGUAGUCUUAACUGUAAACGUUGCCGACCAGAGAUUGA